GCUGGGCACUCAUGCAUCUUUAAUCCCAGCUGCAGGGGAGUUCAGGAGCUCUAAGCUGUAGUACACUGUGUUGAUUGGGUGUCGCACUGAGUUCAGCAUCCAUACGGUGACCUCCUGGGAGUGGGGGACCAUGACGUUGCCCAAGAAGAAGUGAACUGGCCCAGGGAUCAGAAAUGGAGUAGGUCAAAACUUUAAAACUGAUCAGCAGUGAAAUUAUGCCAGUGAACAGCCCCUGCACUCUAGCCCAAGCCU
rnacentral:SRP_RNA from 1 species